UUGUGCAUCUGAGAAGCGGAACAUUCCACAAAGCGUCGAUAUGGAGAUGGUAUGUUAUGAAAAUGUCCAAAGUUCUAACGCAUAUACAACCGUCCAGGCCGAUUCUAGAUUACCUACAAUUCCUAAAGACAACACUCAAGGCACGAACAAGAAAACUCUGAUUGUUCUCGCGAUAUCUUUAGGAAUCUGCUUCUCAGUGUCUGUUGCUGCAUUUAUCCUGAUCAUGCAAUUACCUAAGUUUAAGCAAUAUGUACACUUCUAGUCUUCUUGAGAAUGAAACAUAAUUUGUGAGCUAUCAGAAAGGAUGUACGUCAACUUGAAUCUAAAAUCUUCAUGGCGAAUAACAAAUUGAAUGCAAGCCUAACUGAAGCAAAUUCGAGGAUUACCGAAAUGUCCAGAUGGUUCAGAGCAAGCAAUGAUUUCACUUACAAACGUUUCACUGAUUCUGUCAACUACGCAACUGCAAAGGCUCGGUGUGAAGUAAU